AGAUGGGCGGAUAUGUGCAGCAGAUCGUGACUCAGGAACAGCCUCCCAGUGCUGACGAUCUGAAACGCGCGUACAGAAUCCUCAUCCAAGACGAAACCAACACAAUGUCCUUCAGGUACUGGGCAAACGAACCUAUGCCGGUGACCAUGGCCAACCGAUAUGUCUGCAUCUCUCAUGUACCCGGGUUCUGGGAUCACGUUAUUGUGGGAACCCAUGUGCCA